rnacentral:ncRNA from 1 species
AAAAAUUUUUAUAGUUUUGAUAUUUUAUUUUAAAUAUAAUUUACAUAUAAAUUUUAGUGUUAAAUUUUAUUUAUUUUAAUAAUAAAUAAAAUUAUAAGGUAGUAAUUAAUUUUAAAUCAUUUAAGAAAUUAAGAUUUAGUGAUUUUGAAAUAAAUAACCAAUUUUGUGCCAGCAGUUGCGGUUAUACAAAAAUUUAAUUGAAAUUUUUCAGUAUAUAAUAAGUAAAAUUUAUAUUUAAAUUAAAAAUUAAAUUAUUAGGUGAAAUUUUAAUUUAAUAAAAAUUUAAAAAUUUAUAUGAAUUAAUAAAUUUAUAUAAAAACUAGGAUUAGAUACCCUAUUAUUAAAAUAAAUAAAAUUUAUACUAAAAUAGUAAAUAAUAAUUUAUUGAAACUUAAAUAAUUUGGCGGUAUUUUAGUUCAUUUAGAGGAAUCUGUCUAAUAAUUGAUAAUCCACGAUUAAAUUUACUUAAUUUAAAAUUUUAUAUAUCGUUGUUAAAAAAAUAUUUUCAAAUAAAAAUAAUAUUUAAAAAUUAUAAUUAAAAAUUAAUUCAGAUCAAGAUGUAGAUUAUAGUUAAGAAUAUGAUGGAUUACAAUAAAUUUAUUUAAGUGGAUUUUUGUUUUAAAUAUAUAAAUGAAAUUGGAUUUAAAUGUAAUUUUAUUUAAUAUAGUAAAAUGAUUUAAAAUUGAAAUAUGUACAUAUUGCCCGUCGCUUUCAUUUAAAAAUUGGAAUAAGUCGUAACAAAGUAGAAGUACUGGAAAGUGUUUCUAGAAU